GCCAGUUGAUACUUCGUAAACAUGUUUGUGUGAAUAAUUAUUUGAGCCGCUUAAAACAAUAACCAUACAACAAUAACAUGGUUAAUUUUUACCUAAUUUCCACCGGAGGAGGCAGGACUUUGAAGUUUCUUGCUAGUGAGCUGUUUUUUGGUAACUUUCGAGAUAAGUACAGCAGGCAAGUGUCAUCAGCAUUUACCGUUCCUGCCAACUGGCGCUAAUCCAGAUCAAUCACUAGCUGCUUUGGGAAAAAUAUUGAGGCACAGUGACUGCAUUCAUAUUCUCCCUAUUUCCAAGACCCCUCCAACAUGCAUUCACCUCUCCUUUGAAAAGACAAACAGGACACAGCGGGAGGUUGCCCUGUCAAGGUCUCCGCUUCCACACUCCCCUCCAACGGCGGCUGUGAGACAGGGUCACGGAUGACACCGAUCGGCCCGCCUGCCAGACGUGACAGCACAGCUGGUCGCCUAAUGACAGAGGGGCCCUGCCCGGCGCACACCUGCCCAUCGUGGGCAGGGCAGGCGACCUUGUGAGCCGCGAUGCAACGCUGGACGGGCAGAUGUUCCGGCAGAGAGGAGGAGAACGAGACGGACUCACUACAGGGACCCCUGUCUCCGGUUCUCUCCUCAGCUGUAAUUGAAAAUCGUGUAAAAGGUCAGCUGUGUUCUGAGAACGCUCGGCUGUCCCUGCCUGGUCGUGCCUUUCAAGCGGAAACGCGACAACAAAAGCUCGGCGCGUGACAGCUUUUGCCUCAGCUACUGCGCGUUAAAAAUAUGUAAGAACAUAUGCCAUAAUGGCCAUAUAAUGACAAUAUCUGUAAACAUUUGCGCCAGCAUAAAUCUGCAUAGUCAAGUGGGUGUGGCCCAUCUGUCAGAGGCCUUGCCUAGGGGUCCCGGAGAAAGCCCUAAUCAUUGGGUCCAUUACUGAGACAUUGUUAUGACAUUGGGUCUCUGAGUUGAGGAUGACUGCAUGCGGUUGGGGCCUGGAAGUGAUAAACGUUACGGGUGAUUUAAAAUGUGGGGGAAUUCUGGACCAAUACAAUAGUAACCCUAUCCAUGCUGCUGCUGUGUAGUGGGAACCAUUGCCUUGCUGUCCUGAAUACUUUAGUCAGUCAGAGUGACCUUUGGGCCCAAGUCUCUCCCUGAUGAGGGGUGGCUGAGUUCUAGGUUCUAACCCCCCCCCCCACACCCAAAUACAUUUUCUCUGUUCAUGGUUCCUUUAAACGGAACCAGCAUCGGACCUGUCAGACACCAUCAGCUUCCCCGAGGAAGGAGAGACUGGCUGGGCCUUCAGUCGGAACAGGAAGAUCCAAACAGACUAUAAAAUCGUCCUGGAAUACCAAGUCUGGUGAUCUGAGGUAAACAUUUGAUUGGAGGCCACUUCGUGGUCCAUUCGAAAUAUGAACGUGUACUUUGAGAAAUAUAGGAAUUCUGACAGUGCGUUCCAAUAGGUUCUUUCUUUAUUUCGCUCGGGUUAAAAGGUAAUGUUUCUGGGGAGUUGGUUUUGCUGGGGGAAAAAAGUAUCAGAGGAGAUAUGGUUUCGGGACAACGCAGUCAGAACUAAAUUGAAGACAUACACUGUCGACGGUGACAUCUCAUUUUGGUUUCAUUUCAAUAAUGCAUGAGGUUUGAAAAGACAUUAGGCUAAAUGAGGAACACAUGACGCUAACACUCAGACAUGUGGUUCGGGAGUGUGGGUGGGGGGGGGGUUUGUUCGUAAUAAAAACAAGUGCUGUGACUCGAGCGCAGAGCGCAAACAGGAAGGAAACAAUCCCGUCCAUAAACUCUCCCCAAAUGAGUCUGUUAUCAAUAACACUUGUGUCUAGUGGAGAAACAGAAUGUUGCCGGAUUUCACAAUGUGUGUUUUUGGUUUGACUGCCGUAGACUUUGCCAAUAACAAUGUUACCCACAAUCACUAUCCAAACCACACAGCCUUGGCAUCGUAGUCUGUCACAAAUUAUGUUUUGGUUCUGACCGAAUGCAACAGCUUCCUGUCUCGUUCUGGUUUCUCUUACAGUCUCGGCCAAAGACAAAGCAAAGGACAGCAGGUUUUUUUUCACUGUAGCAGUGAAGGAAAUGCACAUUAGAAACAGUUGGAGUGAUGACAAUUGUGAAACGCAGGGUUAUAUAUCUUUUUUCAUGUUUUAUAAAAAUGUAAAUAAAGCCAUUGCCAUAUCUGACAAUGGACAUCCCGGGUUUAUCAUUACACAUUGACCCAAGAACCACUAAUGUACCAACCUUCUGAUAAAAACUGGUGUUGUCUAUGGCUAUGGUAUCACUUAUGUUUGCUGGAGCCCUCUUUUACUGUGUUUGUGACUUCUUCUGUGUGUGGAGAAAGGCAGAGGGUUGGUACCCGCUGGUGAGUGUGUUCGCACGGCUCAGAUUGCACAUUACAAAGGGAAGACAGCUUCUGGGCUUGCUGAACUUUUGCUUGUUAUCAGGAGCUGGGAGAGAGAUGGAGAGAAUUGAUCUUUUGUCUGCUGGAGGUGCACUCCCCUGGGCCGGACCAGCCCCCCCCCCUCCCUCCUUCCCUCCCUCU